UUAAAGGGCUAAUGUCAUAAAAGCCCUCAAGUUUUCAAGAAAUAUUCGGUUAUAUCCUAAGUUCAAUUUUAUGUUCACAAAAACCGCACAUUUGGGCAAAAAUUGUCAUAAUUGCCCUAUUUUCCGAUUUUACCCUUCUAUGAGGUGUUUGGUUCAGUGGUUUGUUGUUCAGUAAUUGUCACCCAAACACCCCUGUCCUCUUGCUCGAUUUCUAUUGUUGUUGGAGACCAAAAACAACUCCACCGGUGAGCUUCCUGCCGAGAGAAAACGAGCCAGAAACCCACCGGCUGCCAUCUCCUGCUCACCACCGUUCCAUCACCUCAUUCGAUUGCUGAGCAAACCGACGAGCACCCCCUGAAGAUCGAUGCUCCCCUCUGAAUCGAACCUCGAGUCCAAUGAAUCCAACGUUGAAACAUUUCUUCCCCCGAAUUUCACUACCAUGAAACCCAACUCUUGUCGUCGCCCCUGAUUGUCUAUCAGAUGCAAACUCCUGCAAUUUUACCCACUUCACCUCAGAGCAAAACAAAUGGAAGUUUUGGUUUAGGUUUCAUUUGGGUUUAAUUUCAAGUUUGUGCAUUUGUGUUGCUAACCACGAUUUUGAUUUCAUCUGUGGUUUUUGAGUUUAAAUUUUGGGUAUCAUAACUGGGUUUAAUUUUUAGGUUUGAGCACCCAUGACAUCAAUUUGGGCACUGAGUUUAGAUAUGGGUAAGAAAAGGAGGUGGUGAUGGUGGACGAUGUCAAUGUAGAUGUGCUGGCGGUGGUGGAUUUUAGGGAUGGUAGCAGUGAUGUUUGAUAUUUGAUGGUGAUGGUGAUGCAUAUCACAGGUGGUGGUGGUUUCUGGGUUACGAUUAGAUGAUCUUGUUCAUGGGAAUUUAUUCCUUGAGACCAAACUGAGAUUGUUCAUGGGAAUUGAUUCAAUAUAUGGAUUUCGUUGAGUAUGAAUGACAUAUCUUUGAGCUUCUAUGGUGAUGAACAACAAACCACUGAACCAAACACCCCCCAAUGCCAAAGAAGGGUAAAAUCGGAAAAUACGGCAAUUAUGACUUUUUUUGCCCAAAUGUGUGGUUUUUGUGGACAUAAAAUUGGACUUAGGAUAUAUCCAAACAUUUGUUGAAAAUUUGAAGGUUUUUAUGACAUUAGCCCUUUUUUAAAUUGGUUAAAACCAAUUUUCCAACACUUUUGCUGAAUAAUUUUGCACAAAUAAAAAAUAGUUUCCUGCUACAUGUUAGUUUUGCAAAUACGCUCGAUGUCCUCAAAGUGGAGAUAUUCGAAUGCCACCAUCAUUUGUAAAAUCACCAUCAACACUUGGGCGUAGGUCCCCGGCACCAUCUAGAAAGACAAGAUGUUACACAAGAAAGGACACAAUAAUUGUCAAUUAUAUAAGAUCGUACCAGCACCCACAAAGUAAAUUUCAAUUGACAAAAUAUUUGUGCACUUUUAAAGCUUCAAUCUCCAUCAUCUCCAUAUCAUCAACAACAUUCACUUAUUUUUUUUUUUCAUCAAUGGCUUCAGAAGGAAAAUAUAAUCAUGAAACAAGUAUCCCUUCAAAUUUCUGGACACGGGAUCAGUGGUUCAUAGCCAUAACAGCCAUGGUGUUAAGUUUGAUCAUGGGAUACUUGGUUUAUGAUGCUGUCAUGUCCACAGCAGUUGAAAUGCUGCAAAGUCUGCUAAUGAUUUCACCUCUGAUCUUGGUCAUUGUGGUUCACUGGCUCUCGGCUCCUAACCGGUUUAGCAUUCCCGUGCCAGGUUCCGAGCCAAAUGCCAUCCAUCAAGCUGGUGGCUCACCAUGGGGUAUAACAUUGAUUCUUGCUCUACUGUUUUUCCUUAUAUCUCACCAGCCUUCCCUUCGUGGUUUUCUUUUUUAGCUGCCUUUAGCUAGCUUUUAUGAUUAUGUAAUAUGUAUGAACUAGUUUAGACGAUUAGGCAGCUAUCUCCAUUUGUUAUUGCUAUCGUGCACUUGUUAGUUGAUUUUGUUCCUCAACGAUCGGCUAUAUGUGAACUUAGGUUAGUUAAUUGUCUCUAUUGAUUUUAGAUUUUUAAUAGUCUACAACUAUUUUGAAAAAUUAUGUAUUGUUCUGAUGUAAAUAAUUCAUUCCUCGUUCAAGAUUUAUGUAACUA